rnacentral:rRNA from 1 species
AUGGAUCCUGUUGGCUCCAAUUGUCUCCUAGCUGAAGGGCUGGGCCGGCGGCCACUCAGCCCGCACGCAGCCUCUGGCCAGGGUGUGGCGAGGCCGACCGGUUGGAGGAGUGGCGAGAGGGGGGGGUUGAGCUGGGCGAAGCAGUCAAGGCUAGGCAGUGGCGGGCGCGGGCCGACGCAGUUAGGCAUGGGCGGGUACCAGGGUGAGCGCGAGUGGAAGGGGAGGCUCAGUGGGCGCAGCAGGGCCGCCGGAACGGGGCCACGAGGGCUAGUGCCGGAGCAGGGCUGUGCGGGCGGGGCGCUGCGGCAGCAGAGCAACGCAGGCGGCCCGGGCACAUGCGAGGGAAGAGGAGCGCUGGGCAAGUUCAGCGAGCGCCAGCGCAGCCCCGAGCAGCAGCCGGCGCGGUCGUUCGAGAGCAGCGGCAUGGGGAGGCGAGGCCAUGGAAGGGCGCGAGCAGGUCGCGGUUGGCAAUGGCGAGCGGCCGUAGCGGGAGUCAACAGCAGCGCUAGAGCAGAGUCGGCAGCGGCGCGACAGCGGUCAGUGACAGUAGCGGCAGCAGGCGGGCGCGGUGACAUGCACGUGAGGGCGACGGAGAGGCAUGGCCAGGGAGGGGCCGCGGCGGCCGCGGGGUCGCUGGAGGCGUGGCUGGCGUGGCGCAGCCACGAGUGGCGUGAGGCGGUGGAGUUCCACGCCGAGGUGCUCGGGCGGCACCUCACCGAUGGCCUCCUCGGGCCGUCCUCCUGCGCCGUCUGCCUCGGCGGGGCCCAGCAGGCGCUCGCGCUGCGGGAGCUCGGCGUGGCCGGGGCUGUCGCCGUCGCGAGGAGGCGCUCCCCGCCGCUCGCAGUCGCCUUCGGUUGGAGAGAGAGAAAGAGAGAGGGAAAAAAACCUGACAAGGGGGCCCCACCCAGGUCAAAACCGCUGUUGACUAGUGCCACAUCAGCAGUGGGUGGAGAAAAACCAGCCGGGGGGGUGUUUUGUCCGGUUUGGGUUUGUUUGGGGGCCUCAGCGACGCCUGCCUGCAUGUUCCAGAACAGUGGAUCUGUUAGGAGGCAGACCCGGCCUGGUCCAUGGAACUGUCCACCCUUGUGCACCUCUGCAUCAACUAAUUACUUACCCUGCUCCAAGGUUUACUACUCCAAUCUGAGGGGUGAAGACACAGGCAACAUAGAUCUGCAGGAUCAUCCUAUCCCACAGUGGAGCCUUGAUAUCAUGCCAGAAGAUGUGGAGGCGUUGAAUGGGCAGCUGAAGGAAAGAAAGGGAGAAAAGGGAAGACGCCAUCGUGGUGAGUGCAAUAAAUCCGGUCUCAUGUUUAGCCAGACUUGCAUAAAUGCCCAAGAAUUAUGCAACUACUACUUGCUUAGAACAAGGUUCAGAGGAGAUGGAAUGGCAACACAGAGAAUAUUUGCAACUACCGGUAGAGUACCGGGGAGAAUGAGAAUCUGUAGCACGGCACUAGCAGGCUACCACCAAGGAACAAGGCCAAGGUAUCUGCGCACUUGCGGCAUUUACUAUUAUAUAUAUAUCCUCCUAUAUCCUUGUACAAGAGCAAGGCUCCACGUGGAUGGCCAGAAAUUGCACUCCACCAUCCAUGGCAAUGGCAUCUUCCUUCCUUUCUCCUCUCCUGAUAAAUACAUCAUGAACAACCAGUCUCUCUGCUCACCAGGCAACCUAGCUACUCUCGUUACUCUUUUGAUUGCUCCUGUCCUGUACUGA